UUCUUUAAUCAUGGCAUGUACAAAUAUAUAUAACUAGAUAUACAGGGUGUCUCGAGCAACUGGACCAGACUAUAAUUCUGAAAUGAUGGAGUAGAAAAAAAGCUUCUUUAGGUAAAAUUAAGUAGUUUUUAAGUGAAUCAUGACCUGAUGUAAGUAUUUACACAUCUACUGUGAAAGUUGAGUAGUUUUGAGAAUUCUAAGGUUAUCCCUAUUUUUUAAAAUGGAGCUUAAAGUUUUGUAUAUAUCAAUCGAUGAGUUUGUUUUAUUCCGUAUAAAGAGUGUAUUAUAUUAGUCGUGUAUAAUAUAGUUAUCUUAAAAAUUAUUUCGUUUCAGUUUCAUGAAAUUUAUCAUAUGAAAGAGAAGGAAAUAAGUUAGAAUAAAUGUAAGGCUACUGCGUCGCAUCUUUCCUUGUCAUUCGUACAGUCAGUUCUGCACUUCAAUUAAAGUCAGAGCUGUAGUUUGACCUCGUUGCACGAAACACCUUAUAUAUAUAUGUAUAUAUAUAUAUAUAUUAUAUAUUACGACAAUAUGUGUAUUUAUGUAGAGUAUAUCAAGAUGAAGAACUGCAUAUCUAAUAUAAUGCGUCUUAACGCGCAUGCGCGUUUCGUCAUUUGUAUAUUUAUCUUUAAAUAGAAUCAUCUCGAAAGUUUUUGCAAGAUAAGAAUCCAUAAUAUUCAAUUAAGGUAAAAAUUAAAAAAAAGUAAUAUCUUGAAGUUCUUUUAAAUUUUGUACAAUUCCAUUUUCUGUAUAAUAAAUAAAACCUGCAAUAAGGCAGAUGUCGCGCAUUGAAGACUCAACCAUACCUCGUGGCGAUUAUUGAUUACGUUUUGGAACACGCUUAAGUUUAAAUUGUUUGGUAACAAUUUUUAAAAAUCAUUGGAGAUAUUAUCAACGCACUAUUUUGAAUAACAACAGUAUUUUUAUCAAUGCAUCAAAUUUGUGUAAAUUAAUAAAUAUAACAGUUAUAUUCGAAAUAAUUACAAUUACAAACAAUUAAAACGAAAUUAAGACACUCGUAAAGUUUACUAAUAUUAUUCUAAUGUAAAUCAAAGCAUAAUUGCCAACGUAGUUAUCAAUGGGAAAAAAGGUUCGUAAUAAAAUUGAAAGUCAUCAUUGGGGAAGUAAGUACUUUUAUCGGUGACUCUCAAAUGUAUGUAAUAAUAAAACUACAUUAGAUAAUGACUAUCAUUUCCUGGCGACACCAUCAAGGUCUCCCUCUGCUCUCGGUACAUCUAUUCAAGCAGAGCGUAUGAUUAAAAAAAGGUUUUUUUUACAUUUCUAAUUACUAAAUACGUAAAUAGAAUACGAAAUAUGUGUACAGCGAAUAACAAAAUUUCUGUCAUAUUUUCAAUUGUGCCAAUAAUUCUGUAACUUUGUACUUCAUGAAAAAUUUAUCUUACGAGAACAAAUUUUUAAAGUCGAAAUUGAUCCAAACAAAGAUACAAAGAUUUAAAGCAUAUACUGUCUAAGAUAAAAUGGUAUUAUAAAAUUAUAAUCUUGUCUUCCUUCUUAUCUUAUUAAUCUCUAAUCUAAAAAUAUUAUCAGGAUUCAUGGACGAGGAUGGAAAUAUUCUUAGGAUCAUUUCGUACAAUUAUAAUUAUUAGAUAGUUUUACAAUUAUUAUAUAUUUUCUAUUAUAAUCAUUUUUAUUUCUUAUAAUUUACUGUCCUUCGUUAUCUCGUAUUUAUAUUUAUAUAUAUAUUUAUAUUUAUAUAUAAAACACAUAGCUAUGAAAUAUUAAGUUGUGUGUAGUGUAGCAAUGCGACUCCAAAUAGUUUAAAAAAUAUCCACUAAAUGCACAUGCAUUAAACUAGAAAAAAGCGAACGGUGUUAUCGAUUUCAUUGUAUGUUUCUUUCUUCUUUUGAUUAAGAUCGUUAAUUACUGCGUUUCGUUCUUCUUGCCUAGGCGUAUACUGCGUUACUCAUGAUCGUAUGUACAAAUUAGUGAAGCGCACAGUACAAUAUAUAGUAAAAAAGAUGAGACGUUUUACAAACGUAUUCCCAACAUGUGCUACUCAGAGGUAUCGUCGAGAGAAAUAUGAUUAUUACCACGUCAAGAAAAAGUGCAUUCCAAGAAAAAUGGAACAAGUCGACGUCGAUUGAAAUGAGUCGCAUUGUAAAUGGACAACAUCUGAACAGAAAAAAGGGCGAGAGCUUUUAGUAAAAAUGAACAGUUCUUAAAUAAUCGUCACUGAAAAAGAUGGUCAAAAACGCGGUUCUUAAGUUUCGACCUUAAACCACUCUUACACUCUAUAUGAAACAAAAAACAACCGUGAUAAAUAUUUAAAAAUGUCAAAAGAUAAGACAAAAGGAAAAUAAUAAAGAAUACGAAAGUUAACAAUCGCGUAAAUCGCAACGUGAAUAUGAUAUCAGUUAGUAUCAAGCGAGACGCUUCAAAUGGAAUCGAUACCAUUCCCGAUUCUUGUCGUUGAUAAAAACUCGCUUGAUAAAAACUGCAUCUCACACGCAGAAACAUGUAUAAAGAACAAUUAAAUAUUAUCUCUUCGUUCUAUUCUUAAUUCCGUCGAAUCGUGAUAUUUUGGGAUCAUAUAUAAGAGGAAACUCUUUAAAUUAUUAAACAAUACGUGUUCCAUUUCUUUUUUUUUAUAAUCCUCCAAUGCGUAUUCCCUUAGGGCGUAGCAUAUAUUUAACAAUUUUUUUAAAAGCUAAUUUAUAUUUAUAUUUAUAUAUAAUAUUUAUAUAUUUAUUUAUAUAUUUAUAUAUGUAUCAUGUCCCAAGUUAGUGUGCCGCUUAAAUAUAUAUAUGGCAGUCAUCGAAACGCAAACGAAUCGUUUGCGGAGAAACGCGAAAUUAAAAAAAGAGGUGCUGGACGAGAGGAAGUGUAUAUACCGGUGUACAGACCUUACAAAUGAACACGUGCAUCGAUUGAGCUGCUUAAAUAGAUAAAACAGGGCAGAUAUCAUGAAUUAAAGAACAACGUUUCUUUCCCUCUUAAGACGAGAGCAACAACGCGUUAUCAAGUUACUGCACAAGCUCUAAUAAGAGUUUCUUCUAAAAUAGAAACAUUAUAGCACUCUAAGCUGCUACAAAUUUUUAUCUAUGUAGUAUAAAAAGGGCUAGAAGGUACUUUUCAAUUAAACGAGAGUUAUAUCUCAUAAGGCAUUGCUUCUCGAGUUCCUCUUUAACAAGCGAACAUCUGUUCAAAAAUGGCAUUUGCGCGACUCGUAGAAACAUAGAAAAUUGUUCGAAGCAAUAUUAGCAAAUACAUACUGUAAAAAAUAGAUCACUUAUCGAGUUACGUUUCACUGCUGUUAUUCGAUUCGUUACGUGUCAUCGCUUGAAAAUGUGAUCUACUGGCUUAUCUUGAACAGUCUGAAUUAAUUUUAUAAUCGAAUUCUUAUCUGACUUAUAAUAUGCAGAA